AUUGACAAACUCUGUUGAACAAGGACAGAUAUGCAGACUGGUUCAUGAACAUACAGACUUUAUUGCUGAACAAGUGAAGAAGAUUGACAGUGGGCGUCGGGAGGAAUUCAGAGAACGCCAACUCACGCACCAGAGAGACUGAAACCUCGUGAUGCCCUUUUUGGUGGAAGGACCAAUGCGUACAAGUUGUACGACAAAACUGUUGAUGGUGAGAAGAUCAGAUAUAAAUUAUUUUCGGCGAUUUUGAAAAUCUUGAAAAUUAUUAUGGUCUUGUCAAGGUAAAGAUGCUGCCUCCUCGAAAAUUACUAUAUCCGCUGCUUCCCAUCAGGUCCGCUGGGAAAUUAAUGUUUUCCCUCUGCCGCACAUGUGCGGAAAGAGCAAAGUAAUGUCAUACCUUGUACUCACACCGAUGAUGAAAGAGCAAUUUCAGGAACAUGGGUCAGUCUUGGAUUGUUAAAAGCCAUUGAGAAAGGUAAUGUAGUGGUUAAGAUCUAUGAGGUGUGGCAUUUUCCACAGAGAUCUGACAGUCUGUUUUGUGAUUAUGUGAAGACGUUUUUGCAGUUUAAACAGCAAGCCUCUGGCUAUCCCUCAGAUGUAAUCACUGAGGAUGACAAAAGGGCGUACAUUGAUGACUAUCAUAAAAAAGAAGGGAUUAAACUCGAUGCUGAAAAGAUAGCUUAUUACCCUGCUCAAAUGUCAGUUAUGAAAUUACUUUUUGAACAGUCUUUGGGGACGAUUCUGUUUGAGAGAAAAUCUCGCUAAUUCUAAACUUUUGAAAAACCCCGAAGAUUUUGCUCAUUUCAUCUUUGGAUGUCAGUAUGAGAUCAAGUACUUUACUUUUCUAUCUGACAGCGUUGCACUAUUACAGUACAAACAUGCAGAGGGGUCUUUUUAUGAGACUCGAGAUGUUAAUGUCUUUAUUGGUGCUUUUACAACAGCCCAUGCUCGACUAGAGUUGUAUGAUCUAAUGGACAAGCUGGGGGAUAGGCUUCUCUAUAGCGAUACUGAUAGUGUCAUCUAUGUGUCUAGAGAAGGAGACUGGGAACCUCCACAAGGUCCAUAUCUAGGUGAACUGACAGAUGAGGUUGGCAGUGAUGAUUAUAUCACUGAAUACUGUUCAAGUGGACCGAAAACAUACGGCUACAGAACUGCAAAGGGAAAAGUGUGUAUGAAAGCAAAGGGGAUAACAUUGAAUUCAGAAAAUUCCAAAGUUAUCAGAUUGGAUUCAUUGAUCAGCCUUGUUAACAGCUAUGUAAAUUCAUCUGACAGUACUCAGCACAUACUAGCCCACACAGACAACAUUGUGAGAAAUAAAAAGACGGUCACAUUGCAUAACAAGUCAGUUGUUAAAAGAUUCAAGGUUGUGUAUAACAAGAGGGUGCUUCUCCCUGAUUAUAGAACAUUACCUUAUGGCUACUGAUAACAUUCUCAGUUAUCGAGGGGUAAAGGAUACAGAUGGGUUUGAUCCACGGUUUCAACAUCCAUUCUCAAUGACCCUCUGUGGCCCAUCAUGCUCAGGAAAAACUUUUUUUUGUAAAAAUGUUGUUGCAGAAUGCAAAAGGUAUGAUUUCUAACAAUUUUGAAAACAUUGUGUGCAUUUAUGAUUGUUGGCAACCAUUGUAUGAUGAAUUGUUGAAAAUGUAUGAUAUUGAAUUUAUUGAAGGUAUCCCACAGACCCUGAAUGAUGACCAUCUGUUUCCACCCAAUAAAAUUAAUUUUUUGAUAUUGGAUGA